GGGUCAGUAGGUUGGUCGUGCCACCGGUACGUACUGGUCUCACUGAUUCCUCCUUCCUGAAGAACCGUAAUGCCAUUAAUUUGGUGUUACGGGGAAACAGGACUGUUACUUUGAAAAAAUUAGAGUGUUUAAAGCAAGCUAACGAUUGAAUACAUUAGCAUGGAAUAAUGAAAUAGGACGAUCGAUCCUAUUUUGUUGGUUUCUAGGAUUGACGUA
rnacentral:rRNA from 1 species